rnacentral:rRNA from 1 species
GGGGAAUAUUGCACAAUGGAGGAAACUCUGAUGCAGCGACGCCGCGUGAGUGAAGAAGUAAUUCGUUAUGUAAAGCUCUAUCAGCAGGGAAGAUAGUGACGGUACCUGACUAAAAAGCUCCGGCUAAAUACGUGCCAGUAGCCGCGGUAAUACGUAUGGAGCAAGCGUUAUCCGGAUUUACUGGGUGUAAAGGGAGUGUAGGUGGCCAUGCAAGUCAGAAGUGAAAAUCCGGGGCUCAACCCCGGAACUGCUUUUGAAACUGUAAGGCUAGAGUGCAGGAGGGGUGAGUGGAAUUCCUAGUGUAGCGGUGAAAUGCGUAGAUAUUAGGAGGAACACCAGUGGCGAAGGCGGCUCACUGGACUGUAACUGACACUGAGGCUCGAAAGCGUGGGGAGCAAAC